UCCGUCAACUAAUGGGCUACUAGUUUUUUUACAUAAUUACAGCAGAACUAAAACUGCUUAAGUGACGGAAUAUUUUAAGAAACAUUUGGCGCUAUCAGAUGUGGCGAAAGCCUGCGGAAUAUAUUGGGUCAACAAAUUUAGCAUUUAACUGUUAGGAAUAGCGCUCCUAGCAGUUUUUU
rnacentral:sRNA from 12 species